rnacentral:rRNA from 1 species
GACGAACGCUGGCGGCGUGCUUAACACAUGCAAGUCGAACGGAAAGGCCCUGCUUUUGUGGGGUGCUCGAGUGGCGAACGGGUGAGUAACACGUGAGUAACCUGCCCUUGACUUUGGGAUAACUUCAGGAAACUGGGGCUAAUACCGGAUAGGAGCUCCUGCUGCAUGGUGGGGGUUGGAAAGUUUCGGCGGUUGGGGAUGGACUCGCGGCUUAUCAGCUUGUUGGUGGGGUAGUGGCUUACCAAGGCUUUGACGGGUAGCCGGCCUGAGAGGGUGACCGGCCACAUUGGGACUGAGAUACGGCCCAGACUCCUACGGGAGGCAGCAGUGGGGAAUAUUGCACAAUGGGCGGAAGCCUGAUGCAGCAACGCCGCGUGCGGGAUGACGGCCUUCGGGUUGUAAACCGCUUUCGCCUGUGACGAGGCGUGAGUGACGGUAAUGGGUAAAGAAGCACCGGCUAACUACGUGCCAGCAGCCGCGGUGAUACGUAGGGUGCGAGCGUUGUCCGGAUUUAUUGGGCGUAAAGGGCUCGUAGGUGGUUGAUCGCGUCGGAAGUGUAAUCUUGGGGCUUAACCCUGAGCGUGCUUUCGAUACGGGUUGACUUGAGGAAGGUAGGGGAGAAUGGAAUUUCUGGUGGAGCGGUGGAAUGCGCAGAUAUCAGGAGGAACACCAGUGGCGAAGGCGGUUCUCUGGGCCUUUCCUGACGCUGAGGAGCGAAAGCGUGGGGAGCGAACAGGCUUAGAUACCCUGGUAGUCCACGCUGUAAACGGUGGGUACUAGGUGUGGGGUCCAUUCCACGGGUUCCGUGCCGUAGCUAACGCUUUAAGUACCCCGCCUGGGGAGUACGGCCGCAAGGCUAAAACUCAAAGGAAUUGACGGGGCCCCGCACAAGCGGCGGAGCAUGCGGAUUAAUUCGAUGCAACGCGUAGAACCUUACCUGGGUUUGACAUGGAUCGGGAGCGCUCAGAGAUGGGUGUGCCUCUUUUGGGGUCGGUUCACAGGUGGUGCAUGGCUGUCGUCAGCUCGUGUCGUGAGAUGUUGGGUUAAGUCCCGCAACGAGCGCAACCCUUGUUCACUGUUGCCAGCACGUUAUGGUGGGGACUCAGUGGAGACCGCCGGGGUCAACUCGGGGGAAGGUGGGGAUGACGUCAAGUCAUCAUGCCCCUUAUGUCCAGGGCUUCACGCAUGCUACAAUGGCUGGUACAGAGAGUGGCGAGCCUGUGAGGGUGAGCGAAUCUCGGAAAGCCGGUCUCAAUUCGGAUUGGGGUCUGCAACUCGACCUCAUGAAGUCGGAGUCGCUAGUAAUCGCAGAUCAGCAACGCUGCGGUGAAUACGUUCCCGGG